GGAUGCGUAGACUUCCAGGGCCGGCUCUUCUCUUUGGUUAUCUAGCUGUAUGAGUGCGCCUGGUUUCAUAAAGCUAGAGAACCGAACGUACGAACCGGCCCGAUGCGCAACGUAUAUUCU
rnacentral:pre_miRNA from 11 species